UCUAUAGAAGUGAUUGGGGGACUUCCCUGGCAGUCCAGUGGUUAAGACUUUGUCUUCCAAUGCAGGGGGUGCGGGUUCAAUCUGUUGGGGAGCUAAGACCACACAUGACUCGUGCCAAAAAUCUAAAACAACACAGAAGCAAUAUUGUAACAAAUUCAAUGAAGUCUUUAAAAAUGGUCCACAUCAA